rnacentral:siRNA from 1 species
UGUACAUUUUCGGGCAUUUUC